UUUGAUUAAAGAUUGAUUAGGAUUGAUUUAGAGUCUAAGAUUUAAUUAGAAUUUAAGAUUUUAUUUGGAUUUGACUAGGAUUUAAUUAGGAUUUAGUUAAUAUUUAAUUAGUAUUUAAUUAGAGUUUGAUUAGGAUCUGUCUAAAUUUUAUCUAUGAUUUUUUUAGGAUUUUAUUAGGAUUCAUUCGAGUUGAUUUAAGAUUUAGGAUUUCAUUAAGAUCUCAUUAGGUUUUUUUUUUAAAGUUUAAUUAAGAUCCAUUAGAAUUUUAAUUAAAAUUUUAAUUAAUAUUU
rnacentral:lncRNA from 1 species